AUAAACAACGAUCCGCCCUUCCUAUUUUUCUUCAGUCUCUUUCUUACAUACCUGUGUUUCACCACUCGGAUUAUCUCUUCGGCAACGUCUUCCUGGUGGUGGAAGUGGUGAACACUGACUGCUAAGUAACAAGUUAGCAAAAUGGGACCUGGUGGACCGGGAGGAGGGCCGGGAGGACCAGGUGGACCGGGAGGAUGGGGAGGAGGACCUGGUGGUUGGGGUCCUGGCCCUGGAGGACCUGGCGGAUUUGGGCCCGGAGGUCCUGGUUGGGGUCCGGGACCUGGAGGUCCCUGGGGCCCUGGAUUUGGAGGUCCUGGUUUUUGGCCUGGUGGGUUCUUUGGCGG
rnacentral:lncRNA from 1 species